rnacentral:snoRNA from 1 species
AGCCUCAUUCUAGAUUAGAACGGGCAUUGUUGAAUGGUGUCCAAAAUUGGUCAAUAUGGUUAAAAUUGAGACAGAGGUCAUGCUUCCAUCAUAGUAAACAUAUUACAGUGGUGACCAUGAGACCUGUAAUAUUU